AACGCGAAGAACCUUACCUGGGUUUGACAUAUGCCGGAAAGCCGUAGAGAUACGGCCCCCCUUGUGGUCGGUUUACAGGUGGUGCAUGGCUGUCGUCAGCUCGUGUCGUGAGAUGUUGGGUUAAGUCCCGCAACGAGCGCAACCCUCGUCCUAUGUUGCCAGCACGUUAUGGUGGGGACUCAUAGGAGACUGCCGGGGUCAACUCGGAGGAAGGUGGGGAUGACGUCAAGUCUUCAUGCCCCUUAUGUCCAGGGCUUCAAGCAUGCUACAAUGGCCGGUACAAAGGGCUGCGAAACCGCAAGGUGGAGCGAAUCCCAAAAAGCCGGUCUCAGUUCGGAUUGGGGUCUGCAACUCGACCCCAUGAAGUCGGAGUCGCUAGUAAUCGCAGAUCAGCAACGCUGCGGUGAAUACGUUCCCGGGCCUUGUACACACCGCGCAUA
rnacentral:rRNA from 1 species